UUGGCUUCAGUGAUAGAUUUAGAAAAAACUAUUCUUUCUUUUUGCUUUGUUUUGAGGUACUUGACACUACUUUCCUGGCUUGAUACUUUAUUGAAUUAAAUUCUAUGCCCCAUCUCUUCCUUACCGUACAUGAUGCAGUGAGGUACACACUUUUUGGUUUUGUCAAUUUAGUGCACAUUUGGUCUUUCAAACAGUUAUCACACCUAUCAUUGCAUUGUCGGGUAGCUGUUUCCCUAAUGUUCACCAAAUACUGGGACUAUUACACUAACUGAACAAUUUCUAUAUUGAACUUUCAAAUUU
rnacentral:lncRNA from 1 species